rnacentral:tRNA from 1 species
GAGGGUGUAGCUCAGUGGUAGAGUGCCCUCUUAGCAUGCACGAGAUCCUGGGUUCUAUCCCCAGUGCCUCCA